AUUGAACGCUGGCGGCAUGCCUUACACAUGCAAGUCGAACGGCAUCGCGGGAAAGCUUGCUUUCCUGGCGGCGAGUGGCGAACGGGUGAGUAACACAUCGGAACGUACCGGCUAGUGGGGGAUAACCCGUCGAAAGACGGGCUAAUACCGCAUACGCUCUUCGGAGGAAAGCAGGGGGCCUUUGGGCCUUGCGCUAGCCGAGCGGCCGAUGUCCGAUUAGCUAGUUGGUGGGGUAAAGGCCUACCAAGGCGACGAUCGGUAGCGGGUCUGAGAGGACGAUCCGCCACACUGGGACUGAGACACGGCCCAGACUCCUACGGGAGGCAGCAGUGGGGAAUCUUGGACAAUGGGGGCAACCCUGAUCCAGCAAUGCCGCGUGGGUGAAGAAGGCCUUCGGGUUGUAAAGCCCUUUCGGCAGGGAAGAAAUCGGCGGGGCGAAUAACCCUGCUGGAUGACGGUACCUGCAGAAGAAGCACCGGCUAACUACGUG
rnacentral:rRNA from 1 species